UACAGAGGGGGCAAGCGUUGUUCGGAAUUACUGGGCGUAAAGGGCGCGUAGGCGGCCUGCUAAGUCGAACGUGAAAUCCCCGGGCUCAACCCGGGAACUGCGUCCGAUACUGGUUAGCUUGAAUCCGGGAGAGGGAUGCGGAAUUCCAGGUGUAGCGGUGAAAUGCGUAGAUAUCUGGAGGAACACCGGUGGCGAAGGCGGCAUCCUGGACCGGCAUUGACGCUGAGGCGCGAAAGCCAGGGGAGCAAACGGG
rnacentral:rRNA from 1 species